rnacentral:tRNA from 1 species
GAGGGUAUAGCUCAGUGGUAGAGUGCAUGCCUAGCAUGCAAGAGGUCCUGGGUUCAAUCCCCAGUACCUCUA